GGAGGAAUGGCAGAGCGGUUUAAUGCACCGGUCUUGAAAACCGACGUACCGAAAGGUACCGGGGGUUCGAAUCCCUCUUCCUCCG
rnacentral:tRNA from 1 species